rnacentral:lncRNA from 1 species
AAUCUCAGAAACUAAAAUGUCUCAGACAGCACUCAUUAUUCCCCAGGGUCCUGGACAAAUCCAUCUACAAAGUGAGGCCACCGAGCUGAAUGCAAAUAUUUUAAAUGAUAAAUUAAUAAGCAAAAGUUUCCCUGUGUUAUUUAAAGGGAACUUCAUAGUUAGAAAUGACCUCAGACGGAUUUUAAAAAGGGUUUUUAGUAGUUAACCUGCAAGCCGUCUCUGAAUCAAUGAGGAGGCAACAUCACUAAAAGUUGUUACUCUUCACUGAGUCAGCAAUACAUGAAAGUAUUUAAGUGUCGGUAUUUGUUUUAUUUUUAAUCCAAUUUUACUUAAUAAAGUGUCUGUGGCCAUUUCAAGACAAGCUCAAGAUAUACCAUCUCCUUAUGCCUAGUCAGGGAGAAAGAACACUGAAUGCCUCAGUCUCCCAAUAUUUGAGCAAAAAUAUUUCAUGGCUUCUGCAUGGUUUCUGGAGGCAGUGUGAAGACAGACAAUCAUAAUGGGAUACCUAGUUGGAAUCAAGAAACAUUUUUCCAUCAAAGCUCUUUGGUGUCUUUUGGAAAGGCAUAGUGAUAUAUACAUAUACACAUACACAUAUAUACAUAUAUACACCCACACAUGCAUAUAUGUGUGCAUAUAUGUAUACAUAAGCUUCCCAUAAGCCUUGUGCUACCCAUAUCUGUACACACAGUGGUUAAGUUAGCACUAACAUCAGAACGAAAACAUACACUUAAGCAGCAUAUUUAAGAGCCCAUUCACACAUUCAGCAUGUAAUUAUUUAUUUGCCAUGUAUCUACUUUGUACCAGUCACUAUUCCGAAUGUUGAAGGUGCAGUGGUCUGAGGCAUAUGCAACCUCUGGUCUAGUGAUGCAGAAAAACAAUGAAUGAGGAAACAUAUUACAAAGUUCAGUUGGUAAAACUUGGUGGAUUCUAGGAUGAAAAUAAAUUAAAAUGUAAUGGAAGGCUGCCUGAGGUCAAGUGGUGUCUGUGGUCCUCUAGCUGGGGGCCCUGUUGAUGUCCACAGCCCACAUUACUACUGAAGGCUGUGUGGAUCUUCAUAGUCUGUGCUGUCUCCUUAAGCUUUAUUGAUGUCUGAGGCCUAUGUUGCUAUCCUCAAAAGGCCAUAAUGAUGUUCCUGCUCCAUGCUGUGGUCAAAGGUUGUAUUGUCUGUACUGCCACCAGAGUCUGUGCUGAGAUCCAUGGUUGGUGCUGCUGCCAGAGGCCUUGUGGAUAUCUGUGGCCCAUGCUGUUGCCAGAAAACAGGUGCAUGAUCACUGCUACUGUGGAGCAUAAAGGGCAAGGAGGCUUUUUGGUAGUGUUAUUGAUGACCAAAGAAUCACAGUUGAGAACCUUAGAAGGCUUCUGUGACAAACCCCUCCCCUCCCAAAAGAAACUGUCUAGACAGGAAGCCAUUGAAGAGAACUCGUAAAAAUGGUUACAGGAAUGCUGAAGCAUAGCCCUUCAUGGUUGAUGGCUUCUGCUGGGAGUGGGGAAGCCUCAAUUUUCUUUAAGAGGCUGGCAUGGGUAUUUGACCAUGCUCCAGUGAGUAUAUGGGCAACACCAAUUUGACUUGGUAUAUUUCUCUCUCUCUCUCUCUCUCUCUCUCUCUCUCUCUCUCUCUGGGGUAGGUCACAAGGAGAGGUGGGCCUGGGAGGACUGAGAGGUGAGUAUGAUCAGGAUGCAUAAUGUGAAAUUCCCAAAUAAUCAAUAAAAUAUUAUACUGGAAAAACUGAAAUCAAAGAAAGGGGAUGGAAGAGACCAUUUUACAUGUGAGAGCUGGAGGCUUACAGUCUGCUGUGAGUUCUUGCAACUACACUAAAGGAUGAGACAGGUAAAUUGUUCUGACAUCAAGAAGACUCUAUGCUAAGAACAUGCAUGGAGGAAACACUGUUGAAUUGGAGAACCCGGAAGAAGGUAGCUCUCCUGAAACUCUGUCAGAGAGAGUGGUAUAUAGAUCAGGCUUCUACAACCCUUCAGAUUCCAGUUCACAGGGAGGUACUGAAGCUAAUCUCAACCAAGAACACAGUCCAAGGAUCCAAAGGGCCUGGGUACAACUGAUUUCCUUUAAUUUCUCUUUACACUUGCAAAGUGAGUUACUGAAAGCUUAUGCUGCACAUAGCCCUUAAAGUGACUGUGAGAACCUGACAUGUCACCUAUGGAAAAUGAGAGACCUGGAGUGGAUAGCAACCACUGUUACCAUUCUUGCCACUGUUCCUACUGCCCACCAGUGGCUGUAAAAGAGUUUAUCCCAAAAAGAUUAAACCACAAGGGGACUUCUUGGCUUCAGGAAAGAUCUAAAACAGAAUCAACAAUGUGAACCCAAGAAGAAAACAGGUAUAAAUGUUUGUCUUCAAGUGUUGAGUAUAACAUUUCUAACAAGCAGGUUCAACUAUAAAUGCGAACCUUUGGUCCUUCCAACUCCUCCUUUUGGAUGAUUUGAGUCAUUUACAAAAUCACAAAGAGUCUACUCAAUGGUAGAGGCAAUAUUUGUUUCAAUCAUCUUAGUCAGUGGCUCUCAUCUGUGCAGGGAUAGAUAACUGGAUAAUGAAAAUG